AAAGAAGAAAGUCAUAUACACCUAGGAUGCCUCGGGGACGAUACUGUGUGGCAUGGGAGAGCUACACAUUGAGAUCAUCCAUGACCGUAUUAAGAGAGACCACAACAUUGAAACUCACCUAGGACCCUUGCAGGUGGCCUACAGAGAGACCAUCCUCCAAUCAGCAACUGCCACAGUAGGGGGAGACACAGUCCAUCAUGGCGACACUCAGACAGCACACACCUUAGCAACUAAGUAGGAGUAUAAAGGGUCACGCAGCCCUCCUGGUAAGGCCUCCUCAUGUGAAGACCGAAGAGUGUAAAGACCAUCGACUCCACCGGGCAGGGACACCGGCAAGAGAUAUAAGUAUCGCUUUUGAUUCAUUCUUUUUCCUGCUACUUGUUUCACUUCUGUUUCAGUUUUUAUAACCAAUUCUUACUGUGUGUUUCCAGAUCCCUACUAUCACUACUGCUCGCAAACCACGUUUCACACACUAUAGGCAGCGCAAUCCUAACAACCUUUACACAUUGCCUAUGUCUGCUAAUACACUACUUUCUUUUUAUAUUGGUCUCUGGAAUUGCCAGUCUGCUGUAAACAAAGCCGAUUUCAUUACUUCUAUUAUUAGUCAUGCAAAGCUAAAUCUCAUGGCCCUGACAGAGACCUGGA